UUCGUAUAUCAUAAUUAUAGUUGUUGGACUUAAAGUUUAAUUUACAAAAAUUGAGCAAGAACAUUGUAAUAGCCCAAUUUUACCCGGGCUUUAAAUAAAAUGAAAUAGUCCCUUACAAGCCCAAAAACAACAAAAAACAGAAGCCCAAAUCAAAAAUAAAACCCUAAGACCUAGACAGCCCAAAACCUAAACAGAAAAAGAAAAAACCCUAGCCCCUAGCCUAAGCGUCGCACCCUACCAACGCCGCUCCCCCACGUCAGCCACCAACUGCUCUGCCACCACCGCCCAACUGCUUCUGCAGAGAAGUGAAGCACCCAAAGAAAAAAAUAAUAAUAAGUAGCAAUGAACAAUGGUUGUAAAUCAGGCUAUAAAAGCCUCAAGAAAAAUGUAAUGUUUUUUUAUAGAUUUUGAAUACAAACACAGAAAAUUGAAUAAAAAAACAGAGAAAAAAUUAAAAAAAAAAACAUAGAGAAUCAAUCAAAAAUUCAUAAAAGUGGUUCUUUUAUUCUUAUUUUUUUUAUUUUCAUUUUAAACGAUUAAAAAUGGUGUUUUUCAUUUUGUGAUUUUACUUGUUUUUAUUUUAAAGAAACAAACGAAAAAGAAAAAUGAAAAGCCGAAACCUUACCUUUUCGUUAUGCCAUCGUGAAAAUGGGGGGCCGAGGCUACCAUCUCUAAUGAAAGAUGGAGUUUUUGGACUAGGGGAGUCAAAAAGCCAAAGAAAAUGGCCUUUUUGAAAUUUUCGGCCACCGUGGACGGCGAAGCAGUCACCAUUGACCGGCGGCCGCCACAAUGGCCGACGGCCGGACCCAUAGCCGGAUUAGAAACCCUAGCAGAGAAAAACAAAGGUGCUUUGAAGUUUUUUU
rnacentral:lncRNA from 1 species